AGUGAACGCUGGCGGUAGGCCUAACACAUGCAAGUCGAACGGCAGCACAGUAAGAGCUUGCUCUUACGGGUGGCGAGUGGCGGACGGGUGAGGAAUACAUCGGAAUCUACUUUUUCGUGGGGGAUAACGUAGGGAAACUUACGCUAAUACCGCAUACGACCUACGGGUGAAAGCAGGGGAUCUUCGGACCUUGCGCGAUUGAAUGAGCCGAUGUCGGAUUAGCUAGUUGGCGGGGUAAAGGCCCACCAAGGCGACGAUCCGUAGCUGGUCUGAGAGGAUGAUCAGCCCACCUGGAACUGAGACACGGUCCAGACUCCUACGGGAGGCAGCAGUGGGGAAUAUUGGACAAUGGGCGCAAGCCUGAUCCAGCCAUACCGCGUGGGUGAAGAAGGCCUUCGGGUUGUAAAGCCCUUUUGUUGGGAAAGAAAAGCAGCAGGUUAAUACCCCGCUGUUCUGACGGUACCCAAAGAAUAAGCACCGGCUAACUUCGUG
rnacentral:rRNA from 1 species